rnacentral:rRNA from 1 species
ACUACGGGAGGCAGCAGUAGGGAAUAUUGCUCAAUGGGGGAAACCCUGAAGCAGCAACGCCGCGUGGAGGAUGAAGGUUUUCGGAUUGUAAACUCCUUUUGUUAGAGAAGAUAAUGACGGUAUCUAACGAAUAAGACACGGCUAACUCCGUGCCAGCAGCCGCGUUAAUACGGAGCGUGCAAGCGUUACUCGGAAUCACUGGGCGUAAAGAGCGCGGAGGCGGGAUAGCAAGUCAGAUGUGAAAUCCUAUGGCUUAACCAUAGAACUGCAUUUGAAACUGUUAUUCUAGAGUAUGGGAGAGGUAGGUGGAAUUCUUGGUGUAGGGGUAAAAUCCGUAGAGAUCAAGAGGAAUACUCAUUGCGAAGGCGACCUGCUAGAACAUAACUGACGCUGAUGCGCGAAAGCGUGGGGAGCAAACAGGAUUAGAUACCCGGGUAGUC